UUCAAAGUUAUUAUGUUUGGUGACUGUGAACACAGUCAACAAAAAAUAUGGGAAAUCUACUACCUACGUUUCUCAAAUCACUUAUGGAUAAUAAUGCUGGAAUGGAUAAUAAUACUGGAAAUGCCUUGGAGCCAAGUCUGACAAUCGUCAAGGAGCAACUGAAUAAGUACAUAAAUGAAAUAGAAAAAGAAGUAAAGGACAGAGAUAAUCUUAUUGAAAGACUCAUUGAAGAAAACGAGAAACUUGGCAAGAAGAUAAACCAUUCAGAUGCCUCUCAGAUGGAAGUCGACGAUAAGAAAUGAACAAACAACGCCACAUGAAGCCCCUGCAGUAGACUCUCUUUAUUGUCUUUCAUUAUAAGCUCAUUGCAUCUAAAUCAAAUUUUAGCAUGAUUUUAUAUUGGGUUGCCUGUGGAAACUGAUUAUGUCUAUCCACAGGGAGCCCAGAAUUAUAGUAAGAAAUAGAAAAGCCAAAUGUAGUAUAGGCGGAUUUUAACUAUCCACUAAGUCUCCUGAUUGGCUAAAAAUGACUAAGCCACAAUAUAUAGCUCACCAUUUGGGUAUGCUACGUGAUUAUGCAUAAAUAUCUGAUCGUUUUAUUAAAAUAUAAAAUGUUUGUUCACGUGACCCCAAUCAGUUUCAAAUUUGCCAAAUUUGUUGGCGGGGCAAGUGUUAAUAUAAAGACAGUAAAAAAUAUUUGUUAUGAAUAGAUAAACUGACUUUAAGGUUAUUGGAUGCUAAAGCACGUGAUAGGUCCGUGAUUCAUCAACCACGUUUUAGAAUCUUACAAAUAUUUACAAGUUAUUAUAAUCUUUGUUAUCAUUUGGAAGUUUGCCGAGCCUCACCUUUAAGUAUAAAUAGUUUGACAAAGUCACUCAGGUUAAGUGAGUCAAGCGAUGUCAAUCAAGUUUUGUUGAAAAUCAUUGUACAUAGAUAUGGAAUGUUCCAGAGCAAUCUUUGAAGAAUCGAUUUUUCGGUUA